CCUACGGGAGGCAGCAGUGGGGAAUAUUGGGCAAUGGGCGCAAGCCUGACCCAGCAACGCCGCGUGAAGGAAGAAGGCCUUCGGGUUGUAAACUUCUUUUGUUAGGGAAGAGUAGAAGACGGUACCUGACGAAUAAGCUACGGCUAACUACGUGCCAGCAGCCGCGGCAAUACGUAGGUGGCAAGCGUUGUCCGGAUUUACUGGGUGUAACGGGCGUGUAGCCGGGUUGACAAGUCAGAUGUGAAAUCCUGCGGCUUAACCGCAGAACUGCAUUUGAAACUGGUGGUCUUGAGUACUGGAGAGGCAGAUGGAAUUCCUGGUGUAGCGGUGAAAUGCGUAGAUAUUAGGAAGAACACCAGUGGCGAAGGCAGUCUACUAGACUGCAACUGACGGUGAGGCGCGAAAGCGUGGGGAGCAAACAGGAUUAGAUACCCAUGUAGUC
rnacentral:rRNA from 1 species